UGGUUACAGCUAAACAACAACUUGUCAUGGAAGAUACAACGCUGUGAUUGGUGAAAAGUCACGUGACAUAAAAAUUUCCCGGCAUUCCCAUCAGCACACAUGACCUUUUUUAUAGGUGUAAAUAGGUCGUCAAGCGUAUCACGUAGCAACAUCGUCAGACAAUCGAGAAAAUGAAAGGAAUGUUGGAGAAAACUGGAAAUAACAGCUACCUUCUACAUGUUAUUUAUCUUUAAUGGUGAACAACUGACAAGAGCCGAGCCUAGGUUGACUUUAAUGGUGACAAGAUAUAAUUUAAUUCCAAACUUGAUGCUUGUGUAUGAUUUGCAUAAAUAAAGCUCAUGUAAUGUGAUAUAUAGUUGUAUUAACUAUGAGACCAGGAUGCAUCAAAUCUACACACCUGUUUUAUCACAUUUUAAAAACUUACUGAAUAAAAUUGUUAGAAACUUCUUUAUAACUUUCUACAUAUCAUGUAGUUUAUAUUGAUAAACAACUUUGAAAUUUCAAAAAUAUUUAUUGUUAUAUACAUUUUAAGAAGAAAAAGUGCUUACAUUUGCUGUAGAUUAAAAUUACAGAUUUUUGUCUUCCUGUAUUAUUUUAUAAAACUGUAAGUUGUAUUGAAAAACAUUGUAUGCAGUUAUUGGCAUGCAAUACUUUUUUGUGUGUUUACCAAAAUUAUAUGCUAGUUGUCUUUUUUCUUAAAUUAUU